GAUGAACGCUGACAGAAUGCUUAACACAUGCAAGUCUACUUGAACUUCGGUUUGGGUGGCGGACGGGUGAGUAACGCGUAAAGAACUUGCCUCACAGUUAGGGACAACAUUUGGAAACGAAUGCUAAUACCUGAUAUUAUGAUUUUAGGGCAUCCUAAGAUUAUGAAAGCUAUAUGCGCUGUGAGAGAGCUUUGCGUCCCAUUAGCUAGUUGGAGAGGUAACGGCUCACCAAGGCGAUGAUGGGUAGCCGGCCUGAGAGGGUGAACGGCCACAAGGGGACUGAGACACGGCCCUUACUCCUACGGGAGGCAGCAGUGGGGAAUAUUGGACAAUGGACCAAAAGUCUGAUCCAGCAAUUCUGUGUGCACGAUGACGUUUUUCGGAAUGUAAAGUGCUUUCAGUUGGGAAGAAAAAAAUGACGGUACCAACAGAAGAAGUGACGGCUAAAUACGUGCCAGCCGCCGCCGUAACAC
rnacentral:rRNA from 1 species